rnacentral:lncRNA from 13 species
GCCAAUCAGAAACAAGUAUUUAUUAAAUCAUGCCAUGGUAUAGAAUUCCCUUCAAGCCAAUCAGAAACAAGUAUUUAUUAAAUCAUGCCAUGGUAUAGAAUUCCCUUCAAGCCAAUCAGAAACAAGUAUUUAUUAAAUCAUGCCAUGGUAUGAGACUCUCUCUAUGAGAGAUUUUCUUCCACUAUGUUUACAAUUACGUUGAAUUACGUUGGUUAUUUUGGGUGUUCAUCAAUGCUUUUAUUUUUCACAUUUAGUUACCAUUUAUCAAGGUGCAAAAUGCCUCUUUCUCUCUCUCUCCUCCUCGUCUUCCUCUCUCUCUCCUCAUCUUCCCCUCUCUCUCCUCCUCAUCUUCCUCCCUCUCUCUCCUCCUCAUCUUCCUCCCUCUCUCUCUCCUCCUCAUCUUCCUCCCUCUCUCUCUCCUCCUCAUCUUCCUCUCUCUCCUCAUCUUCCUCUCUCUCUCUNNNNNNNNNNUUUCUGAUAUGCAAUGUGAUCUCUUUAAGUGUUGUGUGUUGUCACGAUCGUCAUAAUGUUCCUAGGCCGUCAUUAAAAAUAAGAAUUUGUUCUUAACUGACUUGUCUCGUUAAAUAAAGGUUCAAUACAAAUAUUAAAAAUGACCAAGUUCCACAUAUUUUAAUUAAAACAAAACAAAACAUGAAAAAAACAGCACAAUGAGGAAAUGGCUGCCUAAAUAUGAUCCCCAAUCAGAGACAACGAUAAACAGCUUGUUUCUGAUUGGGAACCAUACCAGGCCGACAUAAACCAUUAAUCACCUAGAUGACCCACCCUUGUCCCUAUCACGCCCCAACCAGCAUAGAGAAUAAACAGCUCUCCAGGGCGUGACACGUGUCCUGACGAGAAGGCAAACGUCAGCCAGUCAAAAUCAAAGCUAAUUGUUACGGCUGUACCCAAAAUAAUGCCACGAGUAGCUACUUUGUUGUUAUUCUGUAACCUCGCAGCAGAGGUCCUAGCUGUGUGUUAGCCGUAGCUAGCUAGCAAGCAAGUCGAGCAUGACAACGAACGACUGUUGCGUCCAUAAAUAUUGAACUAAUCUAACUAACGCCCAGGUGUGAUUUAUAAUUAGUUAACUAAUACUUAUCCUACUGUAAUAAUCUAAUUAAUUAGAGCCCCAAACUGAUUAUCUCUUUUAUACCAUGGGUAUAAUUGAACACAUUUUGCCAGUAGAAAUGUUUUCAACGUCCACUGAAGUAGCUAGCAAGUUGACUAGAUAGCGGUUGCCUGGGUAACCAGACUUGCUAGUUUAGCUAACCAAACCAUUAGUCUCAGUUUGCUAUUAUGAACAAUCUAAUUCCAACAAUGCAAUCAAGGUUCAUGUUUUCAAUUCUGCUUCUGCUUUCAAAAAGCAGCUGAAACAACAUAGAUCAUGUUCCGGUUAAUUAGCUGUUGAACUCGUAACCCUACACCACAAGCCAAUCAGAAAUGAGUAUUUAUUAAAUCAUGCCAUGGUAUAGAAUUCCCUUCAAGCCAAUCAGAAACGAGUAUUGAAUAAAUCAUGCCAUGGUAUAGAAUUCCCUUCAAGCCAAUCAGAAACGAGUAUUGAAUAAAUCAUGCCAUGGUAUAGAAUUCCCUUCAAGCCAAUCAGAAACGAGUAUUUAAUAAAUCAUGCCAUGGUAUAGAAUUCCCUUCAAGCCAAUCAGAAACAAGUAUUUAUUAAAUCAUGCCAUGGUAUAGAAUUCCCUUCAAGCCAAUCAGAAACAAGUAUUUAAUAAAUCAUGCCAUGGUAUAGAAUUCCCUUCAAGCCAAUCAGAAACAAGUAUUUAUUAAAUCAUGCCAUGGUAUAGAAUUCCCUUCAAGCCAAUCAGAAACAAGUAUUUAUUAAAUCAUGCCAUGGUAUAGAAUUCCCUUCAAGCCAAUCAGAAACAAGUAUUUAUUAAAUCAUGCCAUGGUAUAGAAUUCCCUUCAAGCCAAUCAGAAACAAGUAUUUAUUAAAUCAUGCCAUGGUAUGAGACUCUCUCUAUGAGAGAUUUUCUUCCACUAUGUUUACAAUUACGUUGGUUAUUUUGGGUGUUCAUCAAUGCUUUUAUUUUUCACAUUUAGUUACCA